rnacentral:rRNA from 1 species
AUGAACGCUAGCUACAGGCUUAACACAUGCAAGUCGAGGGGCAGCAUGGUCUUAGCUUGCUAAGGCCGAUGGCGACCGGCGCACGGGUGAGUAACACGUAUCCAACCUGCCGUCUACUCUUGGACAGCCUUCUGAAAGGAAGAUUAAUACAAGAUGGCAUCAUGAGUCCGCAUGUUCACAUGAUUAAAGGUAUUCCGGUAGACGAUGGGGAUGCGUUCCAUUAGAUAGUAGGCGGGGUAACGGCCCACCUAGUCUUCGAUGGAUAGGGGUUCUGAGAGGAAGGUCCCCCACAUUGGAACUGAGACACGGUCCAAACUCCUACGGGAGGCAGCAGUGAGGAAUAUUGGUCAAUGGGCGAGAGCCUGAACCAGCCAAGUAGCGUGAAGGAUAACUGCCCUAUGGGUUGUAAACUUCUUUUAUAAAGGAAUAAAGUCGGGUAUGGAUACCCGUUUGCAUGUACUUUAUGAAUAAGGAUCGGCUAACUCCGUGCCAGCAGCCGCGGUAAUACGGAGGAUCCGAGCGUUAUCCGGAUUUAUUGGGUUUAAAGGGAGCGUAGAUGGAUAUUUAAGUCAGUUGUGAAAGUUUGCGGCUCAACCGUAAAAUUGCAGUUGAUACUGGAUAUCUUGAGUGCAGUUGAGGCAGGCGGAAUUCGUGGUGUAGCGGUGAAAUGCUUAGAUAUCACGAAGAACUCCGAUUGCGAAGGCAGCCUGCUAAGCUGCAACUGACAUUGAGGCUCGAAAGUGUGGGUAUCAAACAGGAUUAGAUACCCUGGUAGUCCACACGGUAAACGAUGAAUACUCGCUGUUUGCGAUAUACUGCAAGCGGCCAAGCGAAAGCGUUAAGUAUUCCACCUGGGGAGUACGCCGGCAACGGUGAAACUCAAAGGAAUUGACGGGGGCCCGCACAAGCGGAGGAACAUGUGGUUUAAUUCGAUGAUACGCGAGGAACCUUACCCGGGCUUAAAUUGCAGAUGAAUUACGGUGAAAGCCGUAAGCCGCAAGGCAUCUGUGAAGGUGCUGCAUGGUUGUCGUCAGCUCGUGCCGUGAGGUGUCGGCUUAAGUGCCAUAACGAGCGCAACCCUUGUUGUCAGUUACUAACAGGUUCCGCUGAGGACUCUGACAAGACUGCCAUCGUAAGAUGUGAGGAAGGUGGGGAUGACGUCAAAUCAGCACGGCCCUUACGUCCGGGGCUACACACGUGUUACAAUGGGGGGUACAGAGGGCCGCUACCACGCGAGUGGAUGCCAAUCCCCAAAACCUCUCUCAGUUCGGACUGGAGUCUGCAACCCGACUCCACGAAGCUGGAUUCGCUAGUAAUCGCGCAUCAGCCACGGCGCGGUGAAUACGUUCCCGGGCCUUGUACACACCGCCCGUCAAGCCAUGGGAGCCGGGGGUACCUGAAGUGCGUAACCGCGAGGAGCGCCCUAGGGUAAAACUGGUGACUGGGGCU